rnacentral:lncRNA from 1 species
CUCCUGGUUUCUACACCGGAAAAAGUGGGAUUGAGGUGGUCAACCAGCUUCUUCACCAUCUUGGGUGUACUUGCAGGAGGUCUGUCUUGCCCUUACCCCACAAACAUCGUGAUUGUCUGAAGGGAGAAAGAACUGUCCCCGAGGACAGCCAGAGACAAAGGGAGAAGGACUGUUCCUGGAAGUGCCCAUGGCCAGUGAUCAUUUAAUUAUGCUUGGGAGUGACCACAUUCCACUUAAAAACACUUCACUAAACUCAGACUGAGGGGGAAAGAUCAUGGCAGUUGGCUUCAGCACCUUUGUGAGUUUUCAUCAGCACAUUUCAUUCUUUACGGAACAAUGAAAAUAUAAGAGAGGGAUAAAUGAGGGAAUGAGUCUGUUAGUAAUUGUGAUGGGAAGUUGGGGG